UGUGUGUGUGUGUGUGUGUGUGUGUGUGUGUGUGUGUGUGUGUGUGUGUGUGUGUGUGUGUGUGUGUGUGUGUGUGUCGUGGUGGUAUACAGUUGAAGGUUGGUUGUGUUUGAAGGACUGAUCCGCAAAAACAACUAAUCACAAAACAGAAACUUGGGAAUUUGUUUGUGCACUAUGGUAGAAAGCUAAAAGCCAGUGCAGUUUGUGUGCACUUUCUUGUGUUGGACAAAACAAAGAUAGAGCUUAGGGAGCCUCUAAACACUCCUUAGGAAUACAAUGGAUAAUCGCCAAACUAGCUGAACAAAAAGUUGCACAAAAAUCAUAGCUGUUAACAUCUCGACGAAGAAAACGUUAACAAUUACCUGGGGUUUGAACAAAACUGCCCAAAUCCUUAAGCGCGCAGGGGUCAGGGGUGUUUAGAAUGCCUACAGGUAGACUGUGGGCGUCAAAGGUCGAACCCUGAACCGGUCCCCAGUAGACCAGCUGAUUGGGGUAGUACAAGGCUGGGUUAGGGCCUGUGACAGAAGAACAUUCACAUUCACACAUGCAUGCCCCCUCCCCGUCCCAUAUGAGCAUAAAGGGACGGGGCCUCGCAGUCUCCGUUGCCAUGGACACUGCAGGGAACAGGGGAAUGACCUCCAUCAUCGUGGUCUUUCUAGUGGCCCUCUGGAGCACAACGCGCCGUGUGUGGGUGUGCGUGUGUAUGUUUGCCAUUUGUGAAUGAAAAUAUCUGCAAAGUGUCAAAGCCACUCCCCUCCCUCCCUCCCUCCCUCCCUCCCUCCCUCUCGUCAGUUGACUGUGCCCAAAUCUGUUCAUCAAAGUGGUUCUGAACUUGAUAUCACCGCCACAUCCUCCCUCCCCCUCCACCAACACCUCCCUCUCCCUCCACAACCUCUAUAAUAAGUAGGUUGUCCCUGAAGACAAGUGAAACAAUAUCUUUGGUUGGGAGUGUGUGUGUGUGGGGGGGGGGGGAGAGAGAGAGAAGUGGUUGGGGAGAGUAAGGGUUUGAUUCUUCCUUAAAGAUUUCAUUUCAACCCCUGAGGGAGGGAGACUGUCUGGACUGAACUAGCCAUAUAAAGCAGUGUCAGCACUUUGUUCUUUCUCUCUCUCGCUCUCACUCUCUCUCUCUCCUUCUCUCUAUGUGAAGUUGUACUUGAAAACAAUACGUCUGAAAUGUACCAUAUCCAAAAAGGUCUUUGAUAUUAUCUUUUUCUUUGUCUUUCUUUCGUUUUGGUGUAACGCUAGGGACGCUGUCCAUCCAUAGAGAUUUCAUCGGAGCCCCCCUGGAGGGGUGAAGAUCUAUGCGCACGGUUUUGUAAACCGUUCCCUCGGAUUCAGACUCAGCGCUUUGGAUUUGGUGUAUUCUACACAGCAUGAAUUCUCCAUGACAGCAUUGUGACAGCUGGUCCUACACAGGCCUCACGCAUGAGUAUGAGAUGAGGCAAACGUAGUGUUUCAGUCAGAGAUUAGUUUAUUUUUAACAAACGUUCAAAAAUCAUCCUCACUUUAAAAGAUAAAUCCUACAUUCAGUCGUUCAAACUGAAGAGAUGCCGGUCUGAAUCACAUAGGCGUUCGCCGUCACAGUGAUCAUGGGGAAUCCCUGUUGAGUAGAACAUAGCAGAUCCGUGCACACGGAUUGGGAAAACGGUGCGCACGGUUUCGGAAUCUGAGGGAACGGUUUACAAAUCAAUGCCCACAGAUUUACUCAUCAAGGUAUUUUUUCUAUCAUGUGACCCCACGGGGGCUCAAACUACAUGCAUGGCCUAUUAAAAAAGGGCCUUUUUUCUGGGUUGUCACAUCAGCCCUGUGCAAAAAGAAAGGAAUAACACUAAAUCUCAAAGACAUAAAGUGUAUAGUGAGUGUAUUAACACAAUGAUUGGUGGUGGAAUUGGCUACAUUGGCAUAGGAACCAAUUGCUGUUAGUUAUCUUCCUCUGAAAUAAAUAAAGACAUUGCAACCAUGAAUUGAAGAGGCCCAAAUUGGUGCAUAAAAAUUCACCAGAGUGCAGGAAGUUAAGUGUUUGAUGUCCUGGGGGUAGACCCCUCCGACUCCAUAUGACACACUCAUUACUACAGCACACCCUUGGGCUGCAAUGUAACCAUCUGAAAUCUUGCCUGAAGAACACAGGCACCAUAUUAGUCUGUGAGGGCCCGGCCCUGGGUAAGCCUACUCUUUUGAAGGGAGUAACUCAUCAGUAAAUCGUCUCUCUAUGGAGUGCCACCACCAGGGGGCAGUAUGAAAGUGUCAACCCACAUUCUCAUCUGGAGAGUUAAUCAAAUGAUCAUGGCUUAGUGUUUGUGGUAUCCUAUAGAUUGACAGUGUGUGUGUGUUUGAGUUAAAAUUGUUCUGUCAGAAAUCGUAAAACCAGACCGGAAUAGCUUGCGUUCAGUCUAUAAUUAUGCUUUGGGUGUCUCACGGAAACGCAAGCGUGUGAUUGACAGUUUGGGAUCAGGGUAAUUAAAGACAAAGAAAUAUUAUGGUAAUCUAUGCAGAAUUAUAAUGCUGUAGUAAUGCUGCCAUCGCUUCUUAUCAUAACAAGAAGGAGCAACAAGGGAAAGACAGAACUUUGUAAAGGCCUCUCUGAAUUCCUCCAACAUUCAGUUUUUUUGGGAGAGAUUUGGUGUGAAUGAAAUACACCUGAGGCAGCUCAGACGACCUAAAUAACUUUAUUCGAGGCAACGGGACGCAUUGGUUCCUGUAUCUCUGCGAUAACUGAGGUUUCCUUCUCGCAAAUUGUCACAAAACACGCCAUCCAAAUGGGCCUCUGGUCUCUCCGGUGUUUUGUUGCGUUGAAUGAAGACCUGGGAGUCCUCCCAUUGGACGAUUCCGUGACAAAAUGAUUCCAUAAUUCAAUCCUCCUUCAGCAGGAGCGUGCAAAGAUAACACCAAAGGAUUGCUCGCAAACAGCAGCCGCAAACAAUUACACAGCAUGACCCCCCCAUACGGUACACGAGGAGCUGGGCUUUGAAAGAACAUAUGAGAGAGAGCGUGAGUGAGUGAGUUUGGGGUAAAUAUUCCGGUUGGCCUUGCGGCCUGCGUGUGCAGACCAAUUAAAUGCUUGGUCGUGGUGACAGAAAGCUGACGCUUAAUUUGGGUUUACAAUUAAGCAACAGAAGGAGGACAGUUUUUGUUGGACGCGUUCUGCUGGCUAGCAACAAAGCAAAAUAAAGCUGCCGCUGUCAACAAAAAAUUAAGAGACAACACAAUGAUGAUGUGGCGACGAAAUGCUGGAGACUUGGUUGACCGUUGCGUUUGACUGCUCUUAAUUUGAAUAAUCACUCGCGAUUUAGGACUAGAGCAGCGGCUUUCAAACUUUGGGUCAAGAGUCACAUGAGUGGUUCAAGUGUUUCAAAGGUUCGUCAAAUAUUUCUUAUUGCCCGGUGAUGCCUACAGGUCUCAAUGAGGACAUUUGGGCUUGAACAUAUAAACUUUUAGCUAAGAAUCAAUACCUUCCUUUUGUUAUGCCCCCUUCCUUUUACCCUCCUCUACCAAUCCUCUGGUCCUCUACCUUGCUUAUAUUCUACUUUAUCUGGUUGUCGUGUACUCUGUGACGCUAUCCUUCAGUUAGCUGUGAAUGUAUCACUCUCUCUUUCAGUGUACAGGGAAAUGUGGGGUUAUUUACAAAUACCGAAAUUAAUAUCAUGUUUUGGUUCAAUGCUCAUGUUGUACCAAAAAUGCAGCCACGGUAGGCUAUCAUAGCACAAUUCUAAGAACGGCGGUUUUCUGGCUUCAAGACAUGAAUAACAAGACAAACUGCUGAGAUUUCUCUGCCUGCUCCAUUCCCGGGCUGUAAUGCAGUCAUGCAUUCAGUCAUUCAGACAUUCAGUCAUUGUGUACCUGCUUUCUUUUGCCACUCUAUUGCAAUCCCAAAUGCCCAAAAGUAUAUUUUUAAUCACAUUGCUUUACAAUUCAUCCUAUUGCUAAAGCCUCUUCCGUUGCAGAAACAUAAGUAGAUACUGCAAUUCCGUUAGUCAUUGUGAAUUAUUUUAAGUUAGUGUGAAUGCAUACAGUACCUAGAACUGUUGAUUAGCCAGACAUUAACAGACAAUAUUUGGUGUGAUUGCCUGUUGUCAUAACCCAAUCAAAGCUCUUCUCAAGAUAAUUUAACAUCCCUUGGGAAUAUAAAAAGUGGCGGAAGUUGUUGAUAGACGAUGGUGUGAUUUGCAGAUUUUUGUAGCCUUCUUCAGCCCCUAUAUCCGAGCCACUUACAAAAAUACCAAUCAUGUAUAAUGAGUAAAUCAAAUUCACAGAGCAUGAUCAUUGGUUUCUGAAACAAAUUUAGUGUUCACAUAAAUACAUAUGACAUAAGCUUGCCAGAGCUAUAAGUUGCUCAUAUAUGACGACGAAUGAAACCUUCAAGCAGUCUUUAAUCGACAGUGGCAGUAGUGUAAACAAAGGACAAUUGAUCUUCGUUCCUAAAGUAGCCUGCAUGUCUUGAUGACCACCAGAUGGCAACAGAAUUUACAUUUUAGCAUUGUAGACAUACAUGAUUUUUUUUUCCUGCUACCCAAAAUGAAAACAAAUCACUGUGUCAAUGCGCCACAGCAUGAACAAAGAUGCAAUGUUUUCCAAACAGUCCUUUUGUAUGUUGUGGGCUAUUGGCUGCAUACAAAGGAGUCGGUACAAAAUAAUGAUAAUAAUUCAUGCAAUCGUGCACAACAGGGUGACACAUGGCUGGGAGAGGUGGGCAUCUGGUCCAAUCACACCUUUUGGAUUAGCAAGCGGCAGACAUAUUGAUUAAGGCUGUUUAAAAAACUAUCAAAUUCUGCUCAUGGGAAAAAAACUGUCUCAGGUAAAUCCAUCUUGACGACACACAGAAUCCAACAGCACAACCUCCGGGCUAUUCGAUCCCAUCCCAUCAUAGCGCAUCGGACCAAAAGGGUUUAUGUCUGUUUCUCUUGUAAACUUCUUCCUUUGGGGCUCUUCGGUUUUCCCCACACUAGUUUUCGACUUCCCCUCACCGGCUGCUUCUUUCGCCGCCUUCGGCUCGUUCUCUACAAGCAUAUUGGCUGUUGUUAGCGGCAACCGCCUCGCUGUCUCUUGUUAGCUGACAACAGAACGGAGAAAGUGGAGGGAGGGGUGCAGACGUUCUGCUUGUUUGAGCCCAUAUGGUCAUACAGACAGACAGACAGACAGACAGACAGACAGACAGACAGACAGACAGACACAAAUGGUUAAUUAUAACGUUUCACAUUCAGUUGGUGAUUGUAAACUAUUUAGCCAACCAUAAACAAUUAAUAAACUUUUUUUCAUCCCGCGGUAAUGAGUAUACAACUCAACUGUCAAAAUAGGCGGAGGCAGGAGAUCUGUAGCCUGGUCCUACCAGACUCUCUGGACCAGUGGUUAAUUUGAGCCGGAUCCUGCCGGAACAAGAUCCGGCACCUCUUAAUUUUGGCCUCGCUGUGUUCCGGUACUUAUUUGGGCAGAUCCGGUACCUCUCAUAAAAAGCAAAAACAAGUAAACAGAAAUUAUGAUAAAUUAAAUAUCACAGAGCAGGAUUGUAAAUGUUUACAAUAUCUCAUGUCAAUGAGACGAUGGUGGCCCUCCAUCGUGAUGUCAGUCAGCCAUCACGACGGACGAUGACAUAGUCCAUCGGAACAACCAUUACCUCUAACCCCCGUACUAAUAAUGGUGCGUUUGCGUUUUAUUAUCCAUUUGUCUCGGAGGUCCGAGGAUUGAUCUGCCAUAACCAAUCGCUAACGUUUGGCCGGAAAUCACGUUGCGCGCAGGCUGUAAACAAACCAAACAACGUGCGCUAACGUCAUAGCUCUCAGCCACUCCCUCUUCUCGCUGAUCUGACGCACAACAUUUGGACGGAGAAAACCUACUAACAUACCGCAGACCCAGACGUAGUACUGAAGGGGAAUUAAGAUUUAGUUGAAGUACUUUGGCGGGCGGAGCCAGGCUAGGAAAUCUGGAGAGUGUGUAAAAAAACCCCACAGAUCUUCCAAGAACAAAGCACCGAGAACCAGCUUGGCGUAGAUUCUACUGUGUGACGAAAUGGUGGGGAAAUAGUGUUGCCCAAUCUGGCAACACUGGUCUCCACCACCCCCUCUAGGUGAACAACAACCUCCGCUUCCACAUCCAGCAGUCACAACAGGCGGAACCGCCUGUCUGCUUGUGUGUGCUGACUCAAUCCCCUGAAGAACGAGGAAGAAACAAUGUGGAAGUGGUAGUCCACAAGCCGGUGUUCACGAGAGUUUGAACUGCUACUUUGCAAAGAAAAUGUUGCAGAAAAAUCUGCAGCCUCAUCACAGGGGGAUGAUGUCAAAACUCGUUUUAUGGAUUUGUUUGAAGAAAACGCUACAUGGCAGCAUUGAUUGAUUAAAGCCCAACAGGUGCGCAACCCCAGCGACCCCUGCUGGGGUUGCGCAACCCCUGCUCGGUUACGCACGGCACGUAGAUGCGGCACGGCGGACUCAAAGUAACGAGACCUCAUGGAAUGAAGCUGAAGUUAUUAUUGUGAAAAUUUGCUUUAUGUUUUUACCUGUUUGCAACAAAGGACUGAAUCUGUGAUUUAAUGUGAUAUAGUUCAAUUGAAGAAGAUUGUCAUGCGAGUUAUUGUAUACCACACAAUGGUGAUUUAGCCAAUGGCCCACUGAUGAAAGCCUUUUCAUUUGAAGUUUGAAGACCUGCUGAAUAAAGUGCUUGGGACCCAGCUU